UACGAAGGGGGCGAACGUUAUUCGGAAUCACUGGGCUUAAAGCGCGUGUAGGCGGGACGGCACGUCGGUCGCUGAAAGCCCCCGGCUCAACCGGGGAACGGGCGCCGAUACGACCGUCCUGGAGGGACGUAGGGGGACCUGGAACUUCCGGUGGAGCGGUGAAAUGCGUUGAGAUCGGAAGGAACGCCCGUGGCGAAAGCGAGGUCCUGGACGUUUUCUGACGCUGAGACGCGAAAGCCAGGGGAGCGAACGGG
rnacentral:rRNA from 1 species